ensembl:lncRNA
UAAUGAAAUUAGUUGUACAAGUUUCCUUUUGAAAUAAAUUUGUAGUCAUCAUUUGUCUCGUUUUCGUCUUUAUUUAUUCUUGCAGGCUGAACGUGGCACUACAGGUCUGCCAGGGAGAUAUUAAUUAGAAUAUGUAAAUUAUAUUUAGGCACCACUCGAUGACCGAUUCUGAGGGACAGGGUUUGAGUUUUUAUAUCUCCCAUGUUACCUGCCUGCUUAAGGCACUAGCAAGCAGGCUUUGUAAAUGACAUGAAGACGAUUUGCACAAGUGUACCGGAAGUUACGUAGGCGUAGUGGGCUGGCGCAAUCAGCUGGAACGAACAAUAACAUAACGCCAUGAAGAGUCUGUGUGUGGUAAACACUUUGAGGUUACAUUGUAUUAAGUACGCUGAAUAAGGAGUCAUAUCCUUUUUAGUAAGUGUAGCGAUAUUGUUGGCUAUUGUGUCGCGUUGGUUGGCUAUAUUGUAGCAGUUGUCUAGAGGGAGGUCUGAAAGUUCGAUUGGAAGUAGGCUAUAAUCAGCCAUAGAUUACAGCAAUAAUGUCAGUAAUACUAAGUAAUAAAUCAGACGAUGAAAUAAGAUGGAUGUUAGAAGACUACGGGAUCAAACAUGGGCCAGUUGUUGGUUCAACGCGGCAGUUAUACGAGAGGAAGCUCAGGGAAGCCAUGGCAAUUGAGAAAAAAGCGAGACUGAGACCAAGGCCACCUUCUGAAAGGACCUUUUACAGAGAGGAGGAAGAGAUCACCUAUGUACACCGUCAGCCUCGAUUCAGGGAUGAGGAUUUCCACGAAAGAAUCUUUUUUUUCAGGCAAUGGAAGUAUAGAGAAAUGGAUGCUGUAGAUGACUACAUAGCGCAAGCCACUCACCGCAACAUGACCCAGUCAGCACCAGCUGCUUCAAGGUGGGGAACCGCGCCUCCUGCCCCUGAGGAGAAGAGCUCCUCUCGUCGGAUUCCAGUGUGGGUGCAGUUUCUGGUGUUCCUGCUAUUCAUUGCCCUCCUAUUCUUUAUCUUCACCAACAUGGAGCCAGCUGAGAGUGUGCCCUUUAAAAGAAUAAAUUAGCCAUGUAGGGCUGAGCUCUGUUUUACCUGUUGGCACACAUUUUCCUGAGGGCCUUUUAGGGUUUGGUGCUACGUAUGUACAGAGACAGCCAGAGCAAAGUCAGUGUCCCCACCUGUGGAAAUAUUUGUAAAUGUGUAAUUUUGUUGUUUGUUCAUUUUGUAAAAGGCUGAAAUGUCAGAAUCUCCGAGAUGUCAACAGAACAAAGGAUGUCUUCCCUUAGUAUCUCGUUAAGCUUUUGUUGGUACUUCCUGUUUGUCUGAGAGGUUAUAGUAGUGCACUGAGUGAAUCAUAGUAUAACUGUGACAUCAUCAGUGACUCGCACAACUCACUGGCAUUCAAAAUGUGAUGAACUAUUUCACUGUCUUGAUUGUCGGAGUGUGUGCAAGGUGAGGUGAAUGCCCAUAUGAAUGUAUCACAUAUCUGAUGAUAUUUAUAUUUCCUAGGUCUGUAAAAAUUACAUUUAUAUUGUGUUUUGUAAGUAAGUGGUGGGGGACAGGUGCAGUCUCUGUAGUAUAAAACAAACCAAACAGUAUUACCACUACUGUGAUGCACUGUAAUUAUAAAGUACACAUUUUCAUUCUUAACUUUGAUUUCUCAGAUUUGUUCAGUUUUGUACAAUAUUCUCCUGCAUAUUUAAUUGCAAAAAUAAAUAACUUAAAUUGUG